CUGGAUUACAUACUUACCUGGACGGGGUCAAUAGGUGAUCAAUAAGACCUAUGGCCUAGGCUUGUGACCUUCAUUGCACUCUGGAGGGGUGACAGCCUAAGGUCGGCCCAAGUGGUCGAGCCUACGUCAUAAUUUGUUGCAGCGGGGGCCUGCGUUCGCGCGGCCCCUACCCAAACCAAACUAAAAAUAUUCAUCUAUUUAGUUGAUUGAGUAGAGUAAUGCAUAUCUUAUCUAUUAAAAAUACCUUGAUUAUAUAUUUAUCUAUGCUUUGUAAGUCGUAUUUUUGUGUUUACUCCAUGUCAUUUGAAGAUUACCAUGUUACUGUUGACUCAACUAAGCAGCAAUGUCUUCUGUUGUUUGCCUGAGUUAAUGUUGUUUUGGUCUCAACGAUAACGCCUGUCUAUGAUUUCGUACAAUUUCCAUCCCCAUUGGUUGCUGUGUUUUUACCAAGAACAAAUUCACUUCUAGUCAAUCAGUUAGAUCCUCUGAGUGAGCAACAAGUAGCUGACUUUAACAAUUUGCAGCUGUCAUUCCAUCAUGCUGAAGUUGCUCUCUCACAAGAUAUGAGAUGCAGCUAAGUUGCUAUAUUUUAAAGUAUUACUGUAUGUGCCUUGUGGAAGUACAAAAUUUGUUUUUCAAAGUACAGAGAAAUUUAGCAGGGAUGUUUGUCAUUUAGAUAGUUUUCCAAAGUGGUGUAUAUUGUGCUUUGGGAAAAGGGUCUGAUAUACCCCUCAACUUUAUUAUUUAGAGCUGAUAUACCCCUCGUUAUUAAAGUGGCUCAUAUAUACCCUUACUUGUAAACAAAUGACUCAUAUAUACCCUUUUCCU